rnacentral:rRNA from 1 species
CUUGUUGGUGGGGUAACGGCCCACCAAGGCGACGACGGGUAGCUGGUCUGAGAGGACGGCCAGCCACACUGGGACUGAGACACGGCCCAGACUCCUACGGGAGGCAGCAGUGGGGAAUCUUGCGCUAAUGCGCGAAAGCGUGACGCAGCGACGCCGCGUGGGGGAUGAAGGCCCUCGGGUUGUAAACCCCUUUCGGCAGGGACGAAGGGAAACUGACGGUACCUGCAGAAGAAGUCCCGGCUAACUACGUGCCAGCAGCCGCGGUAACACGUAGGGGACGAGCGUUGUCCGGAUUCAUUGGGCGUAAAGCGCGCGUAGGCGGCUCGGAAAGUCGGGCGUGAAAUGCCGGGGCUCAACCCCGGGACUGCGUCCGAUACUUCCGAGCUGGAGGUAGGUAGGGGAGAUCGGAAUUCCUGGUGUAGCGGUGAAAUGCGCAGAUAUCAGGAGGAACACCGGUGGCGAAGGCGGAUCUCUGGGCCUUACCUGACGCUGAGGCGCGAAAGCUAGGGGAGCGAACAGGAUUAGAUACCCUGGUAGUCCUAGCCGUAAACGUUGGGUGCUAGGUGUGGGCGGACAUCGACCCCGUCCGUGCCGAAGCUAACGCAUUAAGCACCCCGCCUGGGGAGUACGGCCGCAAGGCUAAAACUCAAAGGAAUUGACG